CUGAGGUGGGAGUAUCACUUGAGCCCAGGAGUUUGAGACCAGCCUAGGGAACAUAGUGAGACCCUGUCUCUACAAAACAUUUUAAAAAUUGGUUGUGCAUGGUGGCAUGUACCUGUGGUCCCAGCUACUCAGGAACCUGAGGCAGGAGAAUAGCUUGAGCCCAGGAGAUUGAGGCUCCAGUGAGUUGUGUUCACACCACUGCACUCCAGCCAGGGCAACAGAGGGUCAUCUUUUCUUGCAGGAUCUCAAAAAAAGAGAAGAGUUGCUGGGCCUCAGUCAAGGCAUGGAAGCUAAAGGGAAUUGACAGAACUGAAGCAGCCAUGUAAAGAAUAAGAGUUGUCUGUGAAGAAAAAUGAUUGAUGUCCAGACAGUGCCC
rnacentral:lncRNA from 1 species